rnacentral:rRNA from 1 species
GCCUAAAGCGUCCGUAGCCGGUUUGGUAAAUGCUUUGUGAAAUCGGCCUGCUCAACAGGUCGACGUGCAGAACAGACUGCCAAACUUGAAACCGGGAGAGGUCAGAGGUAUUCCAGGGGGAGCGGUAAAAUGUUAUAAUCCCUGGAGGACCACCGAUGGCGAAGGCAUCUGACCAGAACGGAUUUGACGGUGAGGGACUAAAGCCAGGGGAGCGAUCCGGAUUAGAUACCCGAGUAGUCCUGGCCCUAAACGCUGCGAGCAAGGUGUUGCGUAAUCUCCGAGAUUACGCAGUGUCGAAACGAAGGUGUUAAGCUCGCCACCUGGGAAGUACGGUCGCAAGGCUGAAACUUAAAGGAAUUGGCGGGGGAGCACUACAAGGGGUGAAGCCUGCGGUUCAAUUGGAGUCAACGCCAGAAAUCUUACCCGGAGAGACAGCAGGAUGAAGGUCAAGCUGAAGACUUUACCAGACAAGCUGAGAAGUGGUGCAUGGCCGUCGCCAGCUCGUGCCGUGAGGUGUCCUGUUAAGUCAGGUAACGAGCGAGAUCCUUGCCUCUAGUUGCCACCAUUACUCUCAGGAGUAGUGGGGCGAAUUAGCGGAACUGCCGUAGUUAAUACGGAGGAAGGAGAGGGCCACGGCAGGUCAGUAUGCCCCGAA